AAAUUGGUGAGAGGCGAUAUACUAUUCACCCAGGACCGCUAGCCAUGAUUCGAAUACACUCGGUACCGAAUCCUUAAGAAUAAGACUGCUAAGCUGAUAAGAAAAAAGAAGCAUUCUUCUUUUAAAGACUAGCAAUAGUUGCUUAGGAGGAGCUGCGUCACAUAGUAGUGUGGGUAAAGCUACCAAGACUAUGAUGUGUAGCGGGCUGAGAGUGACGGCCACAUUGGGACUGAGACACGGCCCAAACUCUACGGGAGGCAGCAGUAGGGAAUUUUCGGCAAUGGAGGAAACUCUGACCGAGCGACGCCGCGUGAACGAUGAAGUAUUUCGGUAUGUAAAGUUCUUUUAUUGAAGAAGAAAAAAUAGUGGAAAAACUAUCUUGACGUUAUUCAAUGAAUAAGCCCCGGCUAACUAUGUGCCAGCAGCCGCGGUAAGACAUAGGGGGCGAGCGUUAUCCGGAAUUAUUGGGCGUAAAGGGUGCGUAGGCGGUUAGAUAAGUCUAUAAUUUAAUUUCAGUGCUUAACGCUGUCUUGUUAUAGAAACUGUCUUGACUAGAGUGAGAUAGAGGCAAGCGGAAUUCCAUGUGUAGCGGUAAAAUGUGUAAAUAUAUGGAGGAACACCAGAAGCGUAGGCGGCUUGCUGGGUCUUUACUGACGCUGAGGCACGAAAGCGUGGGGAGCAAACAGGAUUAGAUACCCUGGUAGUCCACGCUGUAAACGAUGAGUACUAAGUGUCGGGGCAACUCGGUACUGAAGUUAACACAUUAAGUACUCCGCCUGAGUAGUACGUACGCAAGUAUGAAACUUAAAGGAAUUGACGGGACUCCGCACAAGCGGUGGAUCAUGUUGUUUAAUUCGAAGAUACACGAAAAACCUUACCGGGUCUUGACAUACUCUGCGAAGCUAUAGAAAUAUAGUGGAGGUUAUCAGGGAUACAGGUGGUGCAUGGUUGUCGUCAGUUCGUGUCGUGAGAUGUUAGGUUAAGUCCUAAAACGAACGCAACCCCUGUCGUUAGUUACCAGCACGUAAUGGUGGGGACUUUAGCGAGACUGCCAAUUAAACAUUGGAGGAAGGUGGGGAUAACGUCAAAUCAUCAUGCCCCUUAUGAUCUGGGCUACAAACGUGAUACAAUGGCUGUUACAAAGAGUAGCUGAAACGCGAGUUUUUAGCCAAUCUCAAAAAGACAGUCUUAGUCCGGAUUGAAAUCUGCAACUCGACUUCAUGAAGCUGGAAUCGCUAGUAAUCGCGAAUCAGCAUGUCGCGGUGAAUACGUUCUCGGGGUUUGUACACACCGCCCGUCA
rnacentral:rRNA from 1 species